rnacentral:lncRNA from 1 species
GCGCUGUGCCGGGUGUGACACUACGGUAGGUGUAGGUUAGGAUGUGUCUUCUGGUCGUGGUCUACUAGUUGGGGCCGAGGGAAGAAGAUGACGAUUCCAAUUUCAGUAGCCACUCUCUAGGCUUAUGAACUGAAAGACCAAGGAGCACAAUUUCCGAGUUUCAAAGAUACUUUCAAACUGAAAGGAACUGUUCGCCAGCUGCUCGCGAAGUGGCCCAUGUGACCCCUAGUGAACGGUCUAAACUUCCGCUAGAUGCUUUGGGAAUUCGUAAAGCGACUGCGUGCGCGGCAGCCAAGCCACAGCUUUACAGGGUUCGCCUUCUGUGUGGGAACGCAGCUUUUCCCGAGAAAUUGGGUUAGGGAUUAAAGAGAAGAACUGCAUCCUUUUUACUGCCCUUUUUCCACGUCUGUCCUGGGCUUAGGGCCCUCCUCAGAGGCCAGAGGGGUAGGCGAGUCCGGGGCGGUAGGGGGCUGCGUCCGGAAGUCCAGGCUGCGUUCUGUCCACCCUGCCCACCCUUAGGGGGCAGGACAGGAAUAAGGUCACCUCACCAAAGAGGCCCAUCAACAUGGAAGAAUAUUUCAGUGAAUCUUGACUCACCAAGCUCAGUGACUUUUCAUUGAAAAGGGUGAGAAUUAUUAAGGAGAUAUUGCACAAUUAAUGUUCAUGUCAAGUUUGAAAAAAAAA